UAAGGUGGGAGUUAAUUACCCACUUGCCUUCUUCAUUAAUACUAAGGUUGAAGCAUUCCCCCAAUUUUCCUAUAAAUAGCCAUGAAUCCAUCUCCUUCCAAACCGUCUCCUCCUUCUUUCCUCUUCAUUUCUUUCUUUCAUUAUAUCUUCUUUCAUUCUAGCUUCCUUCUUUCAUCAAGAGUUGGCCGAAAUUCCACCAUUACCGCCGCCUACCGUCGACGGCCACCGACCACCACAAGAGCAGCCCCCCCUCCUUCCUUGUAUUGCACCGAGGAAUUUCGGGUUCGAAAUUAGGAGUUCUGUACUUGUGUGCAAGGAUCAAGAUAGGUGAUGGCGAUCGGACAACGUGAACUAUAUGCUGCAUUGGGAAUGAUGGGCGGUGGUCACCUAGUUUAAUUUAG